rnacentral:rRNA from 1 species
CAGUCGCCGCGGGAAUACAGAGGGUGCGAGCGUUAAUCGGAUUUACUGGGCGUAAAGCGUGCGUAGGCGGCUUCUUAAGUCGGAUGUGAAAUCCCUGAGCUUAACUUAGGAAUUGCAUUCGAUACUGGGAAGCUAGAGUAUGGGAGAGGAUGGUAGAAUUCCAGGUGUAGCGGUGAAAUGCGUAGAGAUCGGAAAGAACACCAACGGCGAAAGCACUCUGCUGGGCCGACACUGACACUGAGAGACGAAAGCUAGGGGAGCAAAUGGGAUUAGAUACCCCAGUAGUCCCUGUCUCUUAUAC